rnacentral:rRNA from 1 species
UUAAAGGGAGCGUAGGCCGGAGAUUAAGCGUGUUGUGAAAUGUAGACGCUCAACGUCUGCACUGCAGCGCGAACUGGUUUCCUUGAGUACGCACAAAGUGGGCGGAAUUCGUGGUGUAGCGGUGAAAUGCUUAGAUAUCACGAAGAACUCCGAUUGCGAAGGCAGCUCACUGGAGCGCAACUGACGCUGAAGCUCGAAAGUGCGGGUAUCGAACAGGAUUAGAUACCCUGGUAGUCCGCACGGUAAACGAUGGAUGCCCGCUGUUGGUCUGAACAGGUCAGCGGCCAAGCGAAAGCAUUAAGCAUCCCACCUGGGGAGUACGCCGGCAACGGUGAAACUCAAAGGAAUUGACGGGGGCCCGCACAAGCGGAGGAACAUGUGGUUUAAUUCGAUGAUACGCGAGGAACCUUACCCGGGCUUGAAUUGCAGAGGAAGGAUUUGGAGACAAUGACGCCCUUCGGGGUCUCUGUGAAGGUGCUGCAUGGUUGUCGUCAGCUCGUGCCGUGAGGUGUCGGCUUAAGUGCCAUAACGAGCGCAACCCCUCUCCUUAGUUGCCAUCAGGUCAUGCUGGGCACUCUGGGGACACUGCCACCGUAAGGUGUGAGGAAGGUGGGGAUGACGUCAAAUCAGCACGGCCCUUACGUCCGGGGCUACACACGUGUUACAAUGGCAGGUACAGAGAGAUGGUGUUCUGCAAAGCGCAUCAAAUCCUUAAAGCCUGUCUCAGUUCGGACUGGGGUCUGCAACCCGACCCCACGAAGCUGGAUUCGCUAGUAAUC